UACGGAGGGUGCGAGCGUUACUCGGAAUCACUGGGCGUAAAGCGCGCGUAGGCGGCUUUUCAAGUCAGGGGUGAAAUCCCACGGCCCAACCGUGGAACUGCCUUUGAAACUGUAGAGCUUGAGUGUCGGAGAGGGCGGCGGAAUUCCAGGUGUAGGAGUGAAAUCCGUAGAUAUCUGGAGGAACACCGGUGGCGAAGGCGGCCACCUGGACGACAACUGACGCUGAGGUGCGAAAGCGUGGGUAGCAAACAGG
rnacentral:rRNA from 1 species